UUUUAAAACUUAAAAUAAGUUGUAUGGCGAUCAUUUUAACAAUUCUAGAAUAUUUCUUUUAUUUUAUGUGUCACAAUUAUGUUAGUGACUUUAUUUAGGGAAAUUCACAUUUAAUUGCCCCAUUUAAAAUUAGCCUUAAGGGGGUAUUAGUCCCAUUAGGAAAGUUUUUAGACUAGUUAAAUUGGUUACAAUAUGUGAAAGCUUGUCUAAAUUCUGUAUCCAGUUGUAGUUUUGUAAUUUCACUCUUUGGAUGACAUUCCUUAAGUUUAGUCAUAAAGACUACAAGAAUGUGUCUUGUAUUUUUCUAUGAUUUUUGUAUGAAACUAUCAAGAGGAAAAAAAAAUGAUGGAAACUGCAUCAGUGUAGGUACUAUAUUGAUGCUUGAUUGAUUUUUGUUUGAUUGGUUGAGCAAAAUGAGUUUUAUUGGACUUAAAAAGAACAAAGUUGAAUAUUAUUUUACUUAUAACAGAAAGCUAUUUAUUUCUAUAGACAUAUGGGAUUGUUUUCCUUAUCAACUAUGUGUGAUCAUGCUUAUAGAUUAUUUUUUGUGCUUUUGUUAGAAAAAAUAUUAUCAGAUAAAACCUGCCUCCACCAUUUUUAUUUGAAGCUACACUUUUUCAUUCCUGUGGUUAGGAGGUACACAAAAUCUAAUAAGUUUACAAUAUGUCUGCAGACUUUAAAAAAAAACUGAUGACAGGCUGACAUUUUAUCUUGAAUGCCACAGAUGUUAGUGAACCACCAUUUUUUAAUGUCAGUUUCUUGGGGAUGAAAAAUAAAGAUGAUUUCUAACCCUCCAGUUGCAGAUGUUUAAAAGAAUGAAAAAAGAAUAAUGCUCCUACAAAUACCAUAGGAUUUCUAUAGUUUUUGUAUGGCUUUUAUAUUUCAUAUGUAUUUGACAUACUGAGCUGUUGGAAGGAGAAAAGUGAGGAGAAUGAUUUGAAAAAUAACCUGCUGUGUUAUGUGUAGUUGGUAAGGCAAGGAGAUCAAGAUUAUCAAAUGAAUCUAAUGUUUUCGUACAUGUAUAUAUUCAUAAUUUUCAGUUGAAGAUAAGUUCAGUGACAAUUUGUUUAUCAUUUUUUUUUUAUCAUGUUUUAUCUGCCCAUAAUCUUCAAGAUAUAUAUGUUUUAAUUUGACAACAUUUUAGUGCUCAUGGGGAAAUAAUCAUUCAUUUGUAUCUUAGCUAGCUUCCUUUAGAAAAAAAUUGACGCUUCUUAUCACAAGAAGCAGCGACCUUAAAUCUGGAAUGUCAAGGGUGUUUUACAGCAGUAUGACACACACGUUUGAAAAAAACCUGAAUCAAAAUGCUGAUUGAUCCCUCCCAAAUUCAGCCUAGUUAUAAUUUAAUGGGAGCACUCAAUUUAAGGAGCAGCUUAUCAGGGAUGUGAUAUAAGAAAGUAUGCAAGAGUUCAGAGGACCUUUUGUUGAUAACCUCUAUAAGAAAACUGUAAAAAGGUCAAGUAUAUGCCACAGAAUUUCAAGAAUUUAUCAGAAAUGAAAAAUGAUUAGAAUUUAUCUUAUGUUGAAGAAUUCAGACAUGAAGAAGGUGUAUACAUGCAUGUAUUGAAUAUAUAAUGGUUCUUGGCACUCGGUAGCUUUCAAGAUGAUGUAAUAUUCCUUUAGUAUGUCUGAAAAGUAGUUCACACUGUUUAAAAAUGCUAAUACAUGUAGUAUUCAAGCCUAAAAUUAUCAACAAUUUUACCAAGGAUCAUUUAACAUGUGUUUUAUACACAGCUAAGCUAAUGUUAUUGAAAACCUUGAAUUAUUAACAAUUUUCCCCAUUAUCAUUUUAAUAUGUGUUUUAUUCCUUAUGUUCAAUGAACUAUCUCAGUUUUAGACUGUUCUUUCCAAAUUUCCAAGAUUAAUUAAUAAGUCUUGAUUGUACUGGAUUCUUGAUGAUAAUCUUUGAUUUCAUCAAAGUUUGUGCUAGAUUUGGGUUUGAAGGUCAAAAGUUUUCCAAAUGAGUCUAUUCACAUGGGCAUUGGGUUACACCUACAUUGUGUACUGGUAAUUAUUGGCUGCUAGUGGAUAAAUCCAUUCUACUUUUGGCUGAGUGAAUGAAGGAGACUAAAAUAGAGAGUCCUGAAAUAUUUACCAAUUGGUCCGUUUGAUAAUUCUAACAAUAUUGAGACUUCCCUUUUGCGAGUUGUUAACUAUGGCGUGCAAUAUUUCAAAUUAGUGUUUGACAGUUUAAUGUUGUAAUAGCUGUCCAGUGAAGGAGUAUUGGACAUUAAUGGAUGGCAGGUGAAAUUGUCUGCAAAGAAAUGAAAUGAAUUUUGAAUAGUGAGUUUAGAUCUCCAGUUGGUUUAUUACAUGCAUCCUAUAGUGUCUUUUAGUAAUACAGUAGAGUUUUAAUCAUUGACUCUUGGGGCUUAACUGGAUUGGAUCUGUUUUGGUGAUUUAUGUAGGCCUUAGAUUAAAAUUCAGGCAGUAAUAACUAUUUUGAACAGGAUGUGCUCAUACCCUUUAUUGCAUGAACCAUUCCUAGAGGUAAAAACAAUGGAAAUUUUCAGAGGUUUUUUUUUUUCAUCCUAUUUACAAGUACUGAGUAUUUGACGGGUCGACAGUAUUUCAGCUCUCUUAAGUCCCCAUCAUUUGCCAAUUUAUCCUUCCAACAGACAGAAAAAAAAAUUGGAGUAAUUAGAAAUCAAAAGUGCUUGCUUUGAAAUCUGUUUCCUUAAAUAGAAUAGCGUAGCCUUGUCAUGCAAUUAUGAUGUCACAGAGUUUGUUUCAGAGGUUGUUUCCGAACUAUUCUCAAGACACCUUUAAGUAUUGAUGGUGUCAAGUUUACAUACAUUUGGGAAUAUCUAUUAUAAGCCCCACCCACGUAUGGCAUGCUUUGUUACCCAUUAUGCACAUCCCCUACUGCACUCUUUCAGAGCAAAUCAGCUGAUCUGGUGAUGUGGAAAACAGCAAAGUUCAUAUUUCUUUUGACAAUUUCCGCAAGUCUUCUCUUAACUUCUCAGAUCUCUUUGAAUCUUGAUUGCCUGAAAUUGCCAAUUUGGAAUUGAUUUUCCCAUUUGUAAACAAGUAAUAUAU
rnacentral:sRNA from 1 species